rfam:Neurospora crassa OR74A unplaced genomic scaffold supercont12.12, whole genome shotgun sequence.
GCUAAUCUAAUAUAAAAUUCCUUCGACGAAUUGAAUAAUUUAGAAAUAUUACUUAAAAUAGGAGGUAAAUUUCUUCUAAAGCUAAAUACCGGCUAGAAAUUAAUAGUAUACAAGUAGAGUAAUUAAAAAAUAAAAAAUAUUUUAAAAAGAGGGUUAAAUAGUAUAUAAAAUUAUUAAAAGGGAAGCGUUUGUAAUUAGACUUACACUAUUCCAAUUAUCUAGUAUUUUUACUAAUAUAUUUAGGACGGUUUAAGUUAAUAUUAGUUUUAAUAGGGGGAUAAAAGUCCGGGGAAUAUAGCUCCUCCGGGAGUAUUAUAACUCUAAGCGUAAUACCUUCGCCGAAACCGAAGUUCGCGUAUCUAUAAGGAUACUAAUAUAAUAGUUAUUAACAACCCGUUUUAAAAUAUAAAUUAAAGAAUCAAAAUUUUAUAUAAAUAUUUAAAUAUAAAACCCGUACGUAUAAUAAAAGUAAACGUAGGUAAAAGUUUUAGUGUAUUAUCGACCGAUCUUAAUAUAUUCGGAUAGAUUUAAAUAAAAAUAUUAAACCUUAAACCCGAAAGAUAGUAAAUUAUACUUAAAUAGGGUGAAGCUAGAAGAAACUCUAGUAGAAGCUCGUAGUAAUUCUAAUAUACAAAUCGAUUAUUAAAUUUAAAUAUAGGGGCGAAAGACUAAUUAAACUAUUUAGUAGCUAAUUACCGCCGAAGUUUCCCUCAAAAUAGCAAUAUUAUUCUUCAAUUUUAUAAAGUAAAACGAAUAAUUAGGGACUCGGGGGCGCUUUUUAACCUUUAUCUAUUCUCAAACUUUAAAUAUAUAAAAAGCCCUUAUUAUUUAAUUAAAUAUAGGUAUUCGAAUAUACUAAUACUAGUAGGCUAUUUUUAAUAAAUAAAACUAAUAAUAUAGAAUAAACCAAACGUAAAGUUAAAGUACUAGAAUAAACACUUAUUAAAUACUAUAAAAAGUAUUAGUAUAUUUUAAUAGUAGGACGGUAGCUAUAGAAGUCGGAAUCUACUAAAGACUAUAUAAUAACUUACCUACCGAAUAUACUAGCCUUAAAAAUAAAUAGCACUUAAACGUCCUACCUAUACCCCGCCCUUAGGGUAGAAAUAAUACUUUAAAAAGUAAAUGGCUAUAGAAGUUAAUAACGAAGCCUAGGGUAUAAACCCGGGUCGAACGGCUUCUAAUACAAAUUUUAAUAGUAGUAGUAAAUAUUUCAAUAAAAAUUUAAAGGACUAAAGUAGGGAAAGGUUCUAUAUAAAUAAUAGUUAGAUAUAGGUUAAUCGAUUCUAAACUAUAGGGAAAUUCUAUUUUAAAGGGGCAUUUAUACUCCGUAUAGUAAAAGGGAAGCCGGUUAAUAUUCUAGUACCUAAAUAUAAAUUUUAUAUAGUAACGCAACUAAAUAUAGAGACAAUAGCGGAGGCCCUAAGUAAAAUUCUCUUUUCUUCUUAACAAUCUAUUACCUUAAAAACAAUUUAUUUAGAAAUAGGGUUUAAUAGCUAAAAGAGCCCGAUACUUCUAUUAGGUCUAAUAUACUCUUAACGUCCUUUAAAAAUCCGUGGGAAGGAAUAAUUCUUAUACUAAAUUGUACUUAUAACUACAAUAAAUCUCUAAAGUAAAUAGCCUCUAAUUAAUAGAAUAAUAUAAAUAAGGGAAGUUAAUAAAAUAGAUCUGUAAUUUCGAAAAAAGGAUUAAUUCUAAGAGUUAGGUAUAUUGGGCUUUAAAUAAACGCCCUAGGAGUAGAUCGCUACUAGCCGGGCAACCGGCCAGCGGCUUUUAAUAUUUAAGUACAAAAGCCUUUAAUAAACUUCAAUUGUCUGGUAUAUAUUUAAUAACCAAUUUAGAAUUAGUAUGGAUAAGGGGAAUCUAACUAUUUAAUUAAAAUAUAGUAUUAUAAUAAUUAGAAAAUAGUAUUAAUAUAAUAUAAUUUCUACCUAGUACUUUAAAUAUUAAAGUAAAGAAAUUCAAUUAAACGUAGGUAAAUAGCGGGAGUAACUAUAAUUCUCUUAAAGUAGCUAAAUACUUUAUUAUCUAAUUAGUAACGUAUAUAAAUAAAUUAAUAAAAUUCUUACUAUUCCUAUCUAUUAUUUAGUAAAAUUAUAACUAAAGGAAUGGGUUUAGUAAAAUUAAUAAGAAAAAAAGACCCUAUUAAAUUUAAUUCUAAUUUAAUAUUAUAAAAAAAUAUAGGAGGUAUAGAAUAAAUAGGAGUUUCGGCGCCGGUAAAAUACUACUACUCUUAUUAUUUUUUUACUUAUUUAAUUAAGCGGGGCUAAAUUUUUAUUUAACUUCUAAUUUUAAAGUCCUUUAUAGGUUAACCUAAAUUAAAAAUAUUAUUAAAUAGGGAGUUUAACUAAGGCGGCACAUCUAUUAAACUAUAAUGCAAAUAUUCUAAAGGGGGUUUAUAGAGAAUAGAAAUCUCUAAUAGAAUAAAAGAGUAAAAGUCCCCUUAAUUUUAAUUUUUAGUAUAAAUACAAACUAUAAAAGUAUAGCUUAUUAAUCCUUUAAUCCUUCGAAAUUUAAAGCUAAAAGUACUAGAAAAAUUACUAUAGGGAUAAUUAGUUUAUAGCAACUAAAUAUUUAUAGUAAUAUUGCUUUUUAAUCCUUCGAUAUUGGCUCUUCCUAUUAUACCGAAGUAGAAUUCGGUAAAUAUUAGAUUAUUUACCUACUAAUAAAGAACGUAAACUAGAUUUAAACUAUUGUAAGAUAAAUUAAUUUUACUCUACUAAUAAUUUUAUUAUAAUAAUAAUUAAAUUUAGUAUAAAAAGAACUAUUUAUUUAAAUAAUUAGUUUUUAUAAUUAUCUGACCGGAUAGUAUUGUAAUACUACUAUCUACUAAAUAAUAGCUAAAUACCUCUAAAUCAAAAUCUAUAUUAGAAUGUAAUAAUACCUCUAGUAUAUUAUAAAUAUAUAAAAAUAGGCUCCAACCUUGUAUUUUAGCAAAUAAUUCUUCUAUUAGCCUUAAAGUAGCUAGUAGUAAUUCGCAUAUUAUAAUUUUAAUACGCACUAAAUUAAAUCCUUUAUAAACGACUUAAAUAUAUAAAAGGGUCCUAUAAAUAGUAGAAUAGCCUUAUUAUUAUAAUCUAUUAAGGGUAAACCCUCCUUCGCUUAAAUUUCC